GACGAACGCUGGCGGCGUGCUUAACACAUGCAAGUCGAACGGAAAGGCCCUGCUUUUGUGGGGUGCUCGAGUGGCGAACGGGUGAGUAACACGUGAGUAACCUGCCCUUGACUUUGGGAUAACUUCAGGAAACUGGGGCUAAUACCGGAUAGGAGCUCCUGCUGCAUGGUGGGGGUUGGAAAGUUUCGGCGGUUGGGGAUAGACUCGCGGCUUAUCAGCUUGUUGGUGGGGUAGUGGCUUACCAAGGCUUUGACGGGUAGCCGGCCUGAGAGGGUGACCGGCCACAUUGGGACUGAGAUACGGCCCAGACUCCUACGGGAGGCAGCAGUGGGGAAUAUUGGACAAUGGGCGGAAGCCUGAUGCAGCAACGCCGCGUGCGGGAUGACGGCCUUCGGGUUGUAAACCGCUUUCGCCUGUGACGAAGCGUGAGUGACGGUAAUGGGUAAAGAAGCACCGGCUAACUACGUG
rnacentral:rRNA from 1 species